UUGGACAAUGGUAGGAGAGCGUUCUAAGGGCGUUGAAGCAUGAUCGUAAGGACAUGUGGAGCGCUUAGAAGUGAGAAUGCCGGUGUGAGUAGCGAAAGACGGGUGAGAAUCCCGUCCACCGAUUGACUAAGGUUUCCAGAGGAAGGCUCGUCCGCUCUGGGUUAGUCGGGUCCUAAGCUGAGGCCGACAGGCGUAGGCGAUGGAUAACAGGUUGAUAUUCCUGUACCACCUAUAAUCGUUUUAAUCGAUGGGGGGACGCAGUAGGAUAGGCGAAGCGUGCGAUUGGAUUGCACGUCUAAGCAGUAAGGCUGAGUAUUAGGCAAAUCCGGUACUCGUUAAGGCUGAGCUGUGAUGGGGAGAAGACAUUG
rnacentral:rRNA from 1 species